UGUCUCUCAGGUGAGCGGUUUCAGUUCGGUUUCAGUUCCCCGUGUCUCUCAGGUGAGCGGUUUCGGUUCGGUUUCAGUUCCCCGUGUCUCUCAGGUGAGCGGUUUCAGUUCCCCGUGUCUCUCAGGUGAGCGGUUUCAGUUCGGUUUCAGUUCCCCGUGUCUCUCAGGUGAGCGGUUUCAGUUCGGUUUCAGUUCCCCGUGUCUCUCAGGUGAGCGGUUUCGGUUCGGUUUCAGUUCCCCGUGUCUCUCAGGUGAGCGGUUUCAGUUCCCCGUGUCUCUCAGGUGAGCGGUUUCAGUUCGGUUUCAGUUCCCCGUGUCUCUCAGGUGAGCGGUUUCGGUUCGGUUUCAGUUCCCCGUGUCUCUCAGGUGAGCGGUUUCAGUUCCCCGUGUCUCUCAGGUGAGCGGUUUCGGUUCGGUUUCAGUUCCCCGUGUCUCUCAGGUGAGCGGUUUCGGUUCGGUUUCAGUUCCCCGUGUCUCUCAGGUGAGCGGUUUCAGUUCGGUUUCAGUUCCCCGUGUCUCUCAGGUGAGCGGUUUCAGUUCGGUUUCAGUUCCCCGUGUCUCUCAGGUGAGCGGUUUCGGUUCGGUUUCAGUUCCCCGUGUCUCUCAGGUGAGCGGUUUCAGUUCGGUUUCAGUUCCCCGUGUCUCUCAGGUGAGCGGUUUCAGUUCGGUUUCAGUUCCCCGUGUCUCUCAGGUGAGCGGUUUCAGUUCCCCGUGUCUCUCAGGUGAGCGGUUUCAGUUCGGUUUCAGUUCCCCGUGUCUCUCAGGUGAGCGGUUUCGGUUCGGUUUCAGUUCCCCGUGUCUCACAGGUGAGCGGUUUCGGUUCGGUUUCAGUUCCCCGUGUCUCUCAGGUGAGCGGUUUCGGUUCGGUUUCAGUUCCCCGUGUCUCUCAGGUGAGCGGUUUCAGUUCGGUUUCAGUUCCCCGUGUCUCUCAGGUGAGCGGUUUCAGUUCCCCGUGUCUCUCAGGUGAGCGGUUUCAGUUCCCCGUGUCUCUCAGGUGAGCGGUUUCAGUUCGGUUUCGGUUCCCCGUGUCUCUCAGGUGAGCGGUUUCAGUUCAGUUUCAGUUCCCCGUGUCUCUCAGGUGAGCGGUUUCAGUUCGGUUUCGGUUCCCCGUGUCUCUCAGGUGAGUGGUUUCAGUUCCCCGUGUCUCUCAGGUGAGCGGUUUCGGUUCGGUUUCAGUUCCCCGUGUCUCUCAGGUGAGUGGUUUCAGUUCCCCGUGUCUCUCAGGUGAGCGGUUUCGGUUCGGUUUCGGUUCCCCUUGUCUCUCAGGUGAGCGGUUUCGGUUCGGUU